AUCUUUCUAGUAUAAGAUGUACUAGUGACUUCCAAUCACUUAGUCUUGGUUAAAGUCCAAGGAAAGAUA
rnacentral:tRNA from 1 species